UUCAAGUUUUACCUUAUUGCCUACUAAUCCGACAGGGCAACUAUGACACACUGCUUAGAUCGCCUUUGUUCCCGAAGUAAAUGUAUAGGUAUAUCUUUCUAGCAAACAACGGUGCAACACUCCAAGGCUGAAUGGAUCUGGAUAAUCAGACACUUUUCAAGAAAAGAUUAUGAUCCGGCUUUGACAGCUCGAUUUAUACUGUGGCACGUUUUAACCUGCAGCGCUGUAAGCUUCUAUAUCUGCGCACGAGACGAUGUAACUGUCAAACGUGUAUAAACAAGCCGACCUAACCUAACAUGACGCGGCCGCCAAUCGCCAUGGCCGACUAUGAUGGCCAUUCUGCGCACGAAUUACGAAAGAAACGAAAUCAAAAUAACUUCCUACAUGCAACAGCGCACUUGACGUACAUCAUUUCCGCAUAAACGGCUCUUCGACCUUCGCAGAAAAGGCCAGUCGGAAAUAUAAGAGGCGCAGUUACGUAUCCGGAGAAUCAUGCACGUGGCUAAUGCAUCGGAAUCUCCGCGUGUGGCAAAUUGACUGCGCUAAUUCGAUGGUUUUCGAACACGUUGUCGCCUGCUACGUACAGACCGGCUGUUUGUUCCUGUCUCCGUCGCGCUGACGCAAGGGAUACCAGCUAUAAGCCGUAUCCCGAUACGCAGAAAAGCGACACCGGGAAUCAGAGCCAGGUGCCCGGCUGCUCCGAAUCGUCGCAGUAAAAAGAGAGGAGAAAAGCGUCGCUGCCAA